rnacentral:rRNA from 1 species
GACGAACGCUGGCGGCGUGCUUAACACAUGCAAGUCGAACGGAAAGGCCUGCUUUCCCUUGUGGAUUGCGGGUACUCGAGUGGCGAACGGGUGAGUAACACGUGAGUGAUCUGCCCCCAACUUGGGUAUAAGCCUGGGAAACUGGGUCUAAUUCCCGAUAGGACUGCAGGGUGGUGCCUGUGGUGGAAAACGAUUUUCUAGUGGUUGGGGAUGAGCUCGCGGCCUAUCAGCUUGUUGGUGGGGUAAUGGCCUACCAAGGCGGCGACGGGUAGCCGGCCUGGGAGGGUGGACGGCCACAUUGGGACUGAGAUACGGCCCAGACGCCUACGGGAGGCAGCAGUGGGGAAUAUUGCACAAUGGGCGGAAGCCUGAUGCAGCGACGCCGCGUGGGGGAUGACGGACUUCGGGUUGUAAACUCCUUUCGACCGCGAGGAAGCCACCUGGUUGGAAGGGUGGUGACGGUAGUGGUAGAAGAAGCACCGGCUAACUACGUG